rnacentral:lncRNA from 1 species
ACUUUAUGAAACUGGAAAACUGAAGGUCUUGUUUAAUUUAUGAGGGUAUCCAAAACUGCUCAUAGUUAUUUAAAUGAGGUUUAGAUUCUCAUAGCAGUGGCUAUGACAAUUCUACAUGAAUUAUAACUUGUAUACAAAUGUAAAGUAUUGUCCCCUCUUGUUUUAGAGUGUGGAGGUAUAGUGACUGGUACUUAUGGUUCUAUCAAGUCUCCGGGGUAUCCUGGAAACUACCCCCCAGGAAGAGAUUGUGUGUGGCAUGUUUUAACAAAUCCUGGACUCCUGAUAACAUUUGCUUUUGGGACCUUGAGCCUGGAGGACCACGAUGAUUGUAGCAAAGAUUACCUGGAGGUAAACAAUCAUAUUUAUAAAGAACAUAUUAUGGUUAGGACUCAGGGCACUGUGGUUUGGUGAUGCCCAUGAAUGACCCCAAUUCAUUAGCGGUAAUCAGAUAUUUUUCUCAAUAGGCAGCCAAUGUCUAAGUCUUGCUAGGUCCCUAUUCUCAUUUCUGUGGGUUUUUUGCUGCUGCUUCUGGGUUCCAUUUAAAUCUGGGAAAUAGAUUGCCUUGUCUUCCUCUGUCCUUUGCUGGAAAUACAAGCCCCUGGUGGGGUAAUGGCAGAAUUAAUGAAAUAAACACUAAGUAAUGGUGUCUCCUUUAAUGCAGAUUCAGUUCUUCCGUUGUCAUGGUAAACCAGCAGGGUGUUUCACAACUUGAAUAUAGAGCUUCAUGAAGAAAAAUAAGUUUAAUAGGGACUGUGUUGAAAUGAGUUGAUAAGUGGUAAGUCUUACUGAAAACUAAUGAAAAUUAUCUUUGGGAGAAGUCAGGCUGAGCCCCACCUGCCUCCCAAGGUUAAAAUAUGGAGGAGGGAAAAGGCUAUUAUGUUUAAAUGCCAUAUGCGUAUAGGUACAUCAAAAAUGUUACUCUCCAUUUGUAGACAGAAUAGAUCAUGGAGAAGAUUGAGUUCUUAGGUUGUUCUUGUAUUUUUUGACACCAUAAAUCUCAGUACCCUUUGCAGUAGUGCUAAGAAGACAAUAAGCUUUUUGGAGUCCAUUAGGGAAGAGUGGAGUGCUGUGGAAUUAUUCAUAAAGGAUAGAAGGAUGCAGCUGUCAAAAAGGGUCUCCACAAGUUGAAGUCAUUAGUAAUUUAGCAGUUGUAAUAUAGAUCUGAAACCUUCGGAAAUGACUGGAAGAUCUGCUUCUCUUUGGAAAAUUUUAGCAAAAUAACCUUUUCAAUGUUGACAGGAAAAAGUGAAUUAUCUGGAAUUCAUAUUCAAUAAAUUCCAUCAAGUUAAAUCAGAAGCUUUUAAAAAUUCCAAUGUUAAUUCCUACAUAGCAUGUAAUAGAAAGUAUCAAUCAUCUGGACAAUAUUGAAAUGUCUCUCAUUUACUACCAAGCUACAAUUUUCAAGGAACAAGAUCAAUAUAAAAAUAAAAUCCUAUAAAUUUUCUGCCAAUGUAAAAAUAAUCUGGAUGAAAUUAACCACAUAAAAAUAUUUUUUAGCUCAUUCCCUCCUUGGUGUUUGACACAAUACAGACUUUGCAAUGACAACAGGACAUAAAGAGGUCAACACGAUCAUCUGAUGUAGUAACAACCAACAAUUAAAAACAUCUAAGAAAAUAGUGUCACUAUUGUGGUAUUUAAUUACUAUCAAAUUGCACUUCUUAAAUUCAUUAAGUUCAUUAAGCCAUCUCUAUGUCAUGUCCAGUAAGACUGUACUUCCUUUUCUAUUGUGAAUCAGUUGACAUCAGUAGCAUUUCUUCUCUUUUUUUCUUUACACAUAUUCAUGUUCUUCUUCUAGAUCACUGGGACUUUAUCAUUUAAAAGCAAAUACCUGGGGAUGGAGGCGGAUGAGGAAUCUAGGAAAGAAAACACUGACAUUAAUAACAUCAUGAGAAAAUUCCAAAUUAUGUGUAAUUUUAGCCUUGGAAUUGACAUUUAGACAGAAGAUGAGGCAUCUGGGAUGACAGGGGAAAAAUGUUUUUUACUGAACCCCAAUCAUGUGUUAGUUCUUUGUGUGGUAGACUUCCACAGAAAGGAGAAAGGGAGACUCCUUGGAGUUAUCACUUUUAAAUGAAAGAUUUUCUGUAGGAAAUGUACAGAAUGCCUUUUUCUUUUUUUUUAAGUUGGCCAUUUUGACCUUAAUGAUUCACUCUUUUUUUUUUAAGAUUCGAGAUGGUUCUUUGCGUCAGGACCCUGUUCUCGGGAAGUUCUGUACCACACUCUCUGUCCCACCGCUCCAGACGACAGGUCCCUUUGCCAGAAUUCAUUUCCAUUCUGACCUCCUAAUUAAUGACCAAGGCUUCCAUAUCACCUACUUAACAUCACCUUGUAAGUACCCUACCUGCUGGGAACUUCAUACACAUUUAAAGGAUGAUGCUAUGGUUUAUAGCCAUUUUAUAUUUUAAGGUGGUACUGAAGAUGACUUUCUUGCACCAGUGAAAGGACUUUGUAUUUCUCCCAUAGCUCCAGACUUCUUCUUUUUUUUUAUCUUUCUCAUGCUCUGUUAUUAAUACUACAAUACUCCUUAGUCCCUAAAUUCUUGGAUCCACAAUCAUGACAGAGACGAAUGAGCACCUAAUAUUCAAUACUUCAGAGCCUCGGUUCUCUAAUGUUUGAUAUUUUUUGUGAGACAAGUUGUUCAUGUGAGUAAUGGGAGACUAUCUGGGGUUGUGUCUGAUUUUAUCCUUGGAUCAAGUCUAGCUGUACAAGAGCAGGUGUUCAGGACUGCAGUGUCCUAGGCUCCUAGAGUUUCAGUUGUAGUGAAAUACGGUUACUUACUAUGCCUUCAGUUGCACUGAUACCUUAAAAUAAACUAAUAACAAAACAAAUUAAAUACUCUCUGCUUUUAUUUUUAGGGCUGGAGACAUGUUCAUGACAGCAUCAUUUUGUCCUUUUGACAAUUCCUAGAAAAAAAUACCUUUUAAGUCUCAGUAUCAGGAAGAGUUAUGAUGAAUAUCUUCAUGGGUUCCCCUUCUCCCUUUACUUUGAGGUCAAGCUGAAUCUGCAGCUGACCUCCUAUAACUUCCAUAGCCCUUACAAUUAUUUUCUAUGCUUCUCCACCAUCCUCUGGCCUCCUGGGGCUGUUUUAAUUUUUCCUUUAAUCUGCUUUAUUUAUGUGGUUAUAUAUUUUAUUUUGUUGCAAUAUAUUAUAAACUCCUGUCUUUGGAAUGAAGCAGAGCAUUUAUUUAUUUAAAAUAUAUCUAUUUUAAUUAGGUAUAUAUGACAGCAGAAUGCAUUUUGAUUCAUUGUACACAAUUGCAGCACAACUUUUCAUUUCUCUGUACAGAAUGUACCAUAUGUGCAGUCAUACAUGUACCUAGGGUAAUAAUGUCCAUCACAUUCCACCAUCUUUCCUGCCCCCAUAUCCCCUCUUCUCCCCUCCCUCACCUUUUCCCAAAGUUCCUCCAUUUUUCCCCAUGCCCUCCCCUAUUAUUGACCAGCAUCCACUUCUCAGAGAGAACAUUCGGCCUUUGUUUUUUUGGGAUUGGCUUACUUCAAUUACCAUGAUAUUCUCCACCUCCAUUCAUUUAUCAAAUACCAUAAUUUUAUUAUCUUUUAAUGCUGAGUAAUAUUCUGUUGUGUAUAUAUACCAGUUUCUUUAUCCAUUCCUCUCCUGAAGGGCAUCUAAGUUGCUUCCACCAUUUAGCUAUUGUGAAUUGAGCUGCUAUAAACAUUGAUGUGGCUGUGCUACUAGAGUAUGCUGAUUUUAAGUUCUUUGGGUAGGGACUGAGGAGUGGUAUAGCUAGGUCAAAUGGUGGUUCCAUUUGUAUUGACAUAUUUGAAAAGCAAUUUGUAGGAAAGAACAGUGGAUUGGAAGUUUGAGCACACAUAUCUACAUUUAUUUCUUUAGGCACGGUAGGGACAUCUGGCAAACUUUUCAAACAGAAAAUCUUAUAGUGAGAGGCACAAGCCUGUACAGCAUGAAUUAAGUGGGUAUUUUUGGAGUGUGUAUGUGUUUGUGUCUAAUUUCUUUUUUAAUGGAUCCAAUGACUGGGACCCACAACAAAAGCCAUCCACAUGACCCUUCCUUCUCUUCUCUGUUCUCUUCAGCGGAUCUGCAGUGUGGAGGGAUCUACACUGAGCCAGAAGGCGAGAUCCUUCUUCCUGAUUUGUCUGGGCCUUUUGCUCACAAAAGACAAUGCAUCUACUCUAUAGAUCAGCCUCAGGGAGAGCAAAUACAAAUUAACUUCACCCACGUGGAGCUGGAAGGCCAGAGAAGCUGUUCUCAGAGUUACAUUGAGGUAACUUUUAGCAUUCAAUUGCCCUCAGAUGAUUUUCAUCAACAUGUUAAUCUUCUGUAGGGUGGUGGUCUUCAAAUGGUUCCAGACCAGCAGCAUCCACCUCACCCGAGAUGAUGUUAGAAAUGCCAUUGUAUACCCUAUCCCUGCCCUACCCUAGGAUCUGGACUUGGUUGAGCAAGUUCAUUGACCAUGGCACCAUAGCAAUAUAUAUUUUUAAAUCCAGAAAAAUUUAUUUCAGGUGGUGAAGCAAAUGGGUCUAUUCAGUUUCUCUGGGGGUGGAGGCCCAUCAGGGGAUUCUGAUGCAGGCUAGAGUUUAAGAACAACUGUUCUAGAGGAUCUGAAAGAAUCCAUCUAAAAAACAGACCUACAGAUGGUAAAACAAAAGAUUAGUAAGGAAAUCAACAAAGAACUAAGAGGAAAGCUAAGGCUAGAAACUCAUAAUGAUGCUAAAUCACAUCUACUAAACCAAGCUCUGAUCACUAAGGUGCAUGCCAAUAAAUAAGGCUAAUGGGAUUUGCUAACAGAGUAAAUCCCUAUGGAGUAAAUUUCCUACAGAGUUUAUGUACGAUAAUUUUAUGCAGGAGGGAACUGGAACUAGAGAAGUUUAGGGAUUUGCCCAGGUGGCCUGGCUAGUCAGUGACAAAGAGUUAGGUUAAAUUGUCCAAUGACUCUUUUUAAAGGUUCAACAUUCUCCUUCCUUAAUCCUGCUUGUUCUCAAACGUUGACUUAAGUGUGUGUGAUGGUUGUGACAGGGGACUACCUAAACCAAAACCAGGCAGUUUUUGUUUACAGGGCCAGUGACUUCUUUUGGUUAAUUAUUGGUCAAGCCACAAAUUGAAGUAUGGGACAAGAGAAACAAAACAUUUUUUGUUGGGCAUGAUCAUUUUAUUUAAAUUCAGAGAAGCCUUUACAAUUUUGUUUGCUUAUGUAAGAAAAACUAAUUUAUUUUUCCAAGAAAAGUUUAUAUGACCUCCUGACUUCUUAACUCCAUUUAGACAAAGAAAACAUAGAACUUUACCCUAGGAUCUGACUUUGUUGAGUAAGUACAUUGACCAUGACAUCAUGGCAAUAUAUAUUUUUACAUCCAGAAAUUUUUAUUUCAGGUGGUGAGGUGAAUUCAAUCUAAGUUUUUUAUAAAAAAAUUCUCUCAUAAAAUACAUUAAUACUGUGGAACAAUUUUAAAUAAUUUUCUGAAAUAAAAGUAACAUUUCCAACAUUAGUUUUUUUUUUAAAUUUGAGAACAGUUAAAAUACUCAUAAUUAGAGAGCACUUACUAUGCACCUGGUGCUGUUCCAAGACUUUAAUAUAGGAUAGUAAAUUUAGAUAAAGAUAACUGUUUGCUUACUGCACACCAUGUCUGGUAGGUGCUCUAUAGAAGUUAAUUUAUUGAAUUAUCACAUUGUCUUUCUGAUUUUAAUCUCAGGAAUGUGAGGCCCAGUGAAGGUAAGUUACUUGCCCACAGUUAAAUGUCUGGCAAGUCAUAAAUAUGGGAUUUAAAUUUAGAUGUUCUCAGUGUACUGAUCUCUGAUAAGAACAGAAAUGCAAGCAGGAUUAAGAACAAGUAGGAUUAAGGAAGGAGAAUGUCGAACCUUUAAAAAGAGUCAUUGGACAAUUUAACCUAACUCUGCAAUUUUGCCUACAAGAGACAUCUCAUGUUUUCCAGGAAAGACUGGAAAUUCCAUUGCUGGUAGUCUGAUCACAGGACUGAAAUGUGAAGCCAGGCUCAAUGGUUUUCUGAGGUUGGAAAGGAAGUCACUAAUAAUCAGGAAAAUUUGUGCCCCUUUCUGCUAGAUUCUUUUUUUAAAGAAAAUAUUCUUUAGUUAUAUAUGGACGCAGUAUCUUUAUUUUGUUCAUUUACUUUGAUGUGGUGCUGAGGAUCGAACCCAGUGCCUCACAGGUGGGAGGCGAGCGCUCUACCGCUGAGCCGCACCCCAGCCACCUCCGCUGGAUUCUUCAUAGUGGUUGUACUAUCUCUAGGGAGCUGUCAGAACAUCUGCAAAGAUACAUUCUCCUUGCUGUGAAGACCAUUUUCAUUGAAUUUCAGUGAGGAGUUACAUGAACUCCUCUGAAAUAUUCUAGAAAGUUAUCAGGAAAAAAACCCCAUGAAAAUGACAUUCAAAGAUGUAAUUUUGUAGAGAAUAUAAUUAUGACAUUUGCAGGUAACUGCAUGGAGUUGGAGAAUAUCCAUGCUAAUCGAAGUAAGCCAAUCCCAUAAAACCAAAGGCCAAAUAUUUUCUCUGAUAUGUGGAUGCUGAUCCAUCCAUAAUGGGGGGGCGGGGUGGGCAUGGGAAGAAUAAAAGAGCUUUGGAUUGGGCAAAGGGGGAGGAGAGGAGGGGGCAUGGGGACAGCAAAGAUGGUGGAAUGAGACAGACAUCAUUACCUUAGCUACAUGUGUGAUUGCUCGAAUGGUGUGACUCUACAUCACAUACGACCAGAGAAAUGAAAAAUUGUGCUCCAUCUGUGUACAAUGAAUUGAAAUGCUCUCGAUGUUAUGUAUAAUUAAUUAGAACAAAUUAAAGAUAUAUAUUUAAUUUUGUAAAUAAGAUGGGCAGAAUGUGCCAAGCAAGAUGCUAAGCAAGAUGCUAAGCAACUCACUGUAGCUAGAAUGGAUGGGGUUGGAGUUAACUCAUCUGAGAUUUAGUUCUGUAACUAAAUAACUAUACAACUUUGGACAAUUCUACAUAUGAAUGUUUUAGUUCCUACUUCGAUAAGAUAUCAUACCUAUUCAUCUAAUCUUCAUGAGGAUAAAAUUAAGGGAAUGAAUCAUGAAAGAAAGUUGAAAAAUUAAAAACAUUAUACAAAUGCAAGGUUUUCCUAGGCCAAAUCAUGCCUUGAAUUUGCCACUUCAGAGACAAUGAAUGAGCUCUUUUAUGGUUGGCCAAAGAGGCAUCUAUAUUCUGGUGUGCUCACAUACACACAAGGGCUUGAUAAAAUUUUCCUCAAGGAUUGAUAGAAAAAAUAGAAAAACUCUACUAUUCAGAAGGACAAGUCAUAUGGAAUGAUUUGAAUAGCUGAGUAAACUUUUCUAUUAUAUCCAUGAUCAAUCCAAAGGAAUCCGUAUGAUCAAUUUAUAGAAUUUUAGCAUCAGUACAGGCCUUAGAUCUAAAGUCAUCUAAUCUAAAUCACUAAUGGUGUAAAUAAUGAAAUUGAGUCCUACAAAGCCAGGUGUGGUGGUGCAUGCCUGUAAUUCCCCCCCCCCCCCCCGCCCUGGCAGCUUGGAGGCUGAGGCAGAAGGAUUGUAAGUUCAAGGCCAGCCUCAGCAAAAGUGAGGUGCUAAGCAACUCAGUGAGACGCUAUCUCUAAAUAUAAAAUACAAAAUAAGGCUGGGGAUGAGGCUCAGUAGUCAAGUGCCCCUGAGUUAAAUCCCUAGUACCAAAAGAAAAAACGAAAAAAGUCAAAGUUUUGUAAAAAUAGGACAUACAUGUUCCUUUUUAGUAUUCUAGAUAAAUAAAUGUUGAAUGAAAUCAAAGACCUUAUCAUUAAGUCAUCUCUAUUCAUUAGAAAAAACUGUGAACUAAACAUCUGUUUUUCAGUACUUUUACUACUCUUGAUAUUCUUUAGACAGUGGUCGUGGAAGUAAGUGAUGCAGGAAUCAAAUUUAAAUGAUAUUGUUGUGAGAUUUGAAGUAUUUCUCCCCAAGGUAGUUGCUUCAUUUUUGAAAGCUAUGCUUUGAAAGUGAAAAAUUUAAGCAAGCGAAUAAAAGAAAAGGAAGUUGGUUUAGAAGGGAGAUGAUGUUGUCAUUAAUAAUUCCACUUAAGAUAGAAAGCAGACCACCCCAAAAUUUACAAAGAAUGAGGAACAAAGAGGUAAUUUUGGAGAGAUAUGGGGGACUGAUAAUAAGGAGUUUUCUUUUGAGUGUGAAUAAAUGCACUCCCGAGAACCCCAGAUCCUCUUGUUACGGGAUUGGAGAUGCUUUGUUGCCGUGCAUCAUAUCUUUAGAUGAAUAUUAAGUUAGCAUUUUCUAGUGUAUGUAUUUCAUGAAAACUGUGGUUUUGAAAGACUUUUUGCUUAGCAAGAGAGCUCCAUAAGCAUGAUUUGAAAAUAAAAUUUAACUACAAAAGAUAAUAGAUUUGGUAUUGCCUAGACAUGAUGUAGCACAUCUUUCUUUUUCUUUUUUAAAGAUAAGGAGCACAUAUUUAUGUAUCAUUUCCUUGAUUUAUCUCUCUCUCAGCUGAAGUUUCUACCUUUAAAAACACAUAUUUGCCCAUAGAAGAUGUGAUAUGGCUACAAAAGAAUGAGGACAAGAAAAGAUCAACUUUUAGUUCAUCUCUUUUUGUGUGAGAGUAUUUUAAAUAGUACAGAACAGUUCAAUGCAUGUGACUGAUGCAUUGUUGCAGAAUAAAAUGCAGCCCCUCUCCUUAAUAUUUCAUAAGUGAUUUAAGCUAUUGGACACAUAAUGUAGUGAUGAAAGUUUAAUUUUUAUAUCCAGAGAAUCCAAGUUGUAGACUGAAUAAUAACUCAGAAGUCUGUAGGAUAUUAAGGAUGAAGCUUGAGGUAGGAGAUGGAGGAAAAUCCGUAGAAUAAUUCACGCCAUAAGAUUUCCCUGGCCCAUCCCCAACCAUCUACCCUCUGCUCCACUCAGGGAGGGAAUUCUACAAGGGAGGCCAAUAAGGGAGGGAGAGAGAAGUGCCUUCUGCAGAACAGCAAGGAUUUUGUCAAGGUGUUCCUUCUUAGAUGUGGAAAACAACAAAAAUAAAUGACAUAGAAAAGUUGAAAAUAUAUUAAUUAAUAAGAUAGGAUGGAAUAAGCUGUAUUGAAUUUGGUUUCUGGGAAUCUAGGGAAUAUAUACCUUUUCUACAAGUGGCAUGAAUCUCAAAUUCAUCCUGUUUGAGACUUCUACGACAAUCCCAGAAAGUUAAUGAAGUGGAAAUUGUAUACUUCUUCACAAUAUAAUGUGACCAGAAAUUAUUGAUGAAACAAUCUAAAAAUGCCUAAGAACUGGGAAAUCAAUGAAACCUCUCCUAAAUAAUUACUGGGCUAUAAAAGGAAAUAAAACAUGAAAGACUAGACAGAAAAUAACAAAUAGGAAAUGCUUUCUAUCAAAACCCAUGAGACACGUUGAAGCUCAACUCCCAGGUGACAUCUUGAAAUUAGGAUUUAAAAAGAAAGAAUAAAAUAUUUUAAGAAAGGGGGAAAUACAGCAAGCUGAAAUGCUGAGGGUUUGCUUUCCUCCUUCUUCUUUCUUCCUCCUCCUUCUUCUACCACCUUCAUCUUGCUUUCCUUGGUCCUCUCCCCCAUGAUUCCCAGUUCACCUAUCCAACACUCCCACCUCUCCCUCCUGUCCUUCAGUGAAUUUAGAGUCACAGAGAAACUCCUUUUGCUCUUUGUGAGGCACUGAAGCUCUUCAGCUGCAGCCAUAGGGUUGGUAGAGAGAGAGCCAAGACUCUUGGUCUGUAUGCACAUACUUGUUUGCCUCAAGUAGACCUCCUGGUCAGAGUCUUGUGGCUGUGAUUCACAAAAUAAUUCUUAAGGGUGGUUAUGGACGUAAAUGGCAGAGAAAGAAUAGGGCCUCUGAUAACCGAAGCUGGAAUGUAGCCACAGAAAGAAUAGUCAGAAUAGUAUUGCUCUUUCUACUCAGUACAUUUUGAAAUGAACUUCUGUUCAGAGAAAAAUCUUUCUAAAGAAGGCAGGAAGAAGGGGAAAUGGAGAGUAGUUUAAUAGUUUACAUGCUUUGCUUUUGGAGUCUAGAAACAUUUCAUUAGUUUUUGAGCUCUGUUUUCAGCACAGUUUUUCCACAACUACUUGAACAUCCUGAUGCUUUUUGAUGAAGUAAUAAAAUAUGCUGUGUUAGUCAGCUUACACUGCUGUGACAAAAUACCUGAGAAAAAUCAACUUAAAGGGGGAAAGGUUAAUUUUGGCUCACAAUUUUCAGUCCAUAGUUGGUUGGUCCAUUGCUUUUAGGUCCGUGUGAGGCAGUAUAUCACGGCAGGGGUGUGUGCUGGAACAAUUCUCAUCUCCUGUUGGCCAGGAGGCAGAGAGAGAGAGGAAGGGGCUGGGGUCCCAAUAUCGCCUUCAGGUGUGUGCUUCCAAUGACCUAACUUCCUUUCACUAGGUCCAUCUCCUGAAGUUUCCACUGCCUUCCAAAAGGAUGGGGACUAAACCUUUAACACAUAGCCUUUGAGGGACAUUUAAGGUCCAAACUAUGGCAUAUGCCAUAACUCAAGUGAAAUAAUUCUAUACGUUGUAAUAGUGAAAUCCAGGAGAGACUGAGACGGAAGCGCCAUCUAAUUUUAGAGCUGGAGAGUUUGUACAGAACAGUUUGCUGUAUGUGAGAGAGCUGCACUCUUCUGUAGAAACCAUACACCCAUUGGGACAGGUGUGAUAUGGAGCAGUGAGGAAGAAUAAGAGGAUAUGGGGAGAACAAGAAUCAGGAGUGCUACCCAUGACCAGCCAAAUAGAGAACAUGGCCAAUACUGCUCUGAUAUAAAUGGAAAAAGUAUUGUAAGGAAGAAUCAUAAAAGACUUUGACACUGUGUUACUAAAGGCAAGAUAGUAAACAUCUUUUAAGUCCCACUUUCCUCAUCUGUAAUAGGGAUAAUAAUUUUUCCCUCCUGAAAAGGGUUGUUUAAAGUUCAUUAAUUCAUUUAUUUAUUCCGUAAAUAGUAAAUGUAGUUACCUACCUGUCCUCCAGCCCAGCCCUAAAUGAUCCCAUCACCAAAACUCCUCCCAUGACCUGGCCCUGUCCCCUGUCCCCCAAGAGCAACUAACUCCUCCCAUGGCCUGGUUCUGCUAAGGCUGCUAAGAACAUUCUAGAAUGUCCUUAGCAUCAUGCCGAUCAUACAGUGAGUGGGCACUGGCAGUCAACCUGAUGGUAAUGACAGAAGAAGGGGAAGAGGAGAAGACAGGUUGGAGUCUGCAAUCAUGAGGGAAGACCCUUGUAGGUAAAACUCGAUUAAAUAUUCUUGAUUUUAGAAAAUCAGCUUUAAAAUAUCAGAUAAAGGCUGUUUAUUGAUAAAGAUAUUAGGAUGGACAUGCUUCAUGAGACAUAAAAUGCUUUAAAAUUUGAACCAUGAAACAUUCUAAUAAAUAACAAAGGAUAAUCAUCAAAGAAAAUAAUUUUUACCUUUUGCAUGUCAUCUUUUAUUCUUUACUUCUUAUUCUUUCAUUAGAGUGAGAACACAUCUCUUUCCUGCUCGCCCAGAUCAGCCCAAGACUAGUUUCUGAAAUCAAGCCUUUACUUAGCUAUGGGGUGUGUCAGCCUGAAGCUCCAUAACCAGGCAGCCAUGUGUUAAAUGCUACCAUAUGGUAGGGUUCUGCUUUUUGGCUUUUGGAUGGACCAAACCUAGUGCCAGCAUACUUGGUUUGCUUUGAAUUAAAAUUUAAUACUUAAAUGGAUUUUAGAGCUUGUAAUAUAAAAACAAAUCUGGAUUCAUAUGCUUACAAACAAAUAAACACAUGCAUUAAGAUAUGGCUUUGAGACCUGAUCCAUUCCAGAUGUUAAAGCUUACUGCUUACUUGGCUCUAGCUCUCACACUUAAAAUGUUGUAUAAAUUGUGUUUUUUCAGCCCGGUUAACGUUAGCUCUCUGCACAGAAAUAGUUUCUUUGUUAGAGCUCAUUUUAAAAAUAUAUAUAUAUACUUUCUCUUCAGGAAUUAGUUCACCCUGUGAGUGUAAAAUGCCAUCAAAACCACCAUUUUAGCCAUCUUGAAUACCCCAUAGGUUCUUGGUCACAGGUUAUGUAUUGGGAUGGGGCUCAGGACCUGAAUUAUUUAGUGUUACUUGAUGAAAGAAGAAAUCAGUGAGAGAUCUGGGCCUAAUGCACAGAACCCUAGAAUUUUGCAUUGGUUCCUGUCACUUCUUUGCAAAUGUGAUUCAUUAAAAAGAAUGGACUUACUGUGAUCCCUCUUCAAGUAAUUGUGGCAUGACUUCAUCUGAUUUCUUAAGAAAAACUCUUUGUUACUACAAAUGAGCUUCAGACAUUCUUCUUUCUCUAAGUUAUCCCGAAACAAGAAACAAUAACAAAUACUAGGGAAAUCAUAAACAUUAACAAACAAAAAAUUUCUGUGGCUUACAAAUAAGGUUUAUGUUUUGCUCAUGAUAACAUAUUGGUUUUGAAUCAGUUCUGCUCAAAAUCUCUGCUGCUAUUUCCUGCAUCAUGGGACCCAGGCUUUUGGUUUUAUGAGAGGGAAAAGUAAAAGACAUUCAGAUCAUGCAACAACAGCCAAAGCCUCUACUUGGAAAUUAGUAUACCGCUUCUACAUACAUUCUGUUAGGCAUAGCAAUUCCUAGGGGUCAGCUCAGUCAAUGGGAAGGGUAAGUAUUAAUUCUCCAUAGAGAGACAUGGCAAAUCACAUGGCAAAGAGCACAGAUAUUCAAUCAAAUAAUGCAGUCUAUCCUACUUCACAAGCACAAAGGAAAAAGACUUUUUUUGGGGGGGAGUACAAGUUCAAAAAUCUUAGAAUAUUGAAUGCAAGUAGUGUUGCAAAAAUAUUUGGGGUCACUUUAGAACGUUUGAUAAAUUUUAUUUCAAUGUCUUUUUUGAAAGAGUGAUGAUUAAUGCAUUGCCAUGUCUGGGAUCCAUGGAAAAUACGGGUUUUUAGAAUUAAUAAGAAUUGAGUGAGAGAGAGAGAGAGAGAGAGAGAGAGAGAGAGAGAGAGAGAGAGAGAGAUGGUGAAAAUCAAUUGUACCUUCUAGGUUUAAGGCCCUUGAGCCCUAUAAGUUACUCUUAAAACAUUUGGACUGCAGCUGCCUUUCUCCUUGCUAAAGUCCUUGAGUUUCAUUAAUCAGGUCCAAGGGGAAUGAUUCACUUAAGCUUGCACUGAUGCUAUUGGGCUGUUUUUCUUCCUUCUUGUCAUCUUCUAAUGGGUGAAAUAGAAAAAAGAGACUAUAAUCUUAGAAAAAGCAAAUAGAACCCGGGAGGAUUAGAGAGCAGGAUGAUCAUCUUUCUCUGUUUAAUGCUUUCUGGUUUUCAGGAACUGUAGCAUGUCUACAUAUCUUUAAAAAAAAAUUGGAAUAUCAUCCUGCACCUUAAAAUGAAUGAAUCAACAAGAAUUGGUCAAAUCCCUAUUUGCAAAGUUUAUUCUAGAUGUUGAAGGGGACACAGAAGCCUUCCCUUCCCUCCGAGAUUUUCUGUUUGGUUAGAGAGAAAUUUAGCAUCCUUUAUUUCAAUAUGUGAAAUUUGUGUUGCAGAUGUUGUAAGAGCUUUCAGAAAAGAACUGGUAUGAGUGUGAGUCAGUGGAGAGGCAUGUGAUUUUUUUUUUUAUCUCUGUUUCUAUCAUAUGGCUGAGCCAUAAUUUAUUUAGUCACCCACCUAUUAUUAGAACUUUAGAAUAGUUUUAGUCAUUGUCAUUAGAGAGCAUACUUUGAUCUGGGUCUGGGUGCAUCUGUGUCUGCAUCUUGAAUAGUUUUGGGAUAAAGUGUUAGGCCACUCAUGAUACAUAUUGUCAAGUAAAUCUUCCCAAACUUUAUACUUCUAUCAGUUAGGAUUGAGAGUAAUGAUGUCAUGAUAUCCCCACCAGCUUGAAUAUGCUUUAAAAAUCUGCCCUUCGCUACUCACUUAGCUAAUUUCUACUUGGCCUUCAGGUCUCCGCUUGCAGUUUAUUUCUGCUAAGAUCUGUUCCAUUAAUCCUCUAGAUGAGUUCAGAGUCUUUGGUUACGCCACUGGGUCUAGGUUUUACGAUCUUGUUGUCACCCUUUGCUAUUAUUCUACAGUGAAAUUCAUUGAUGAUAUAAGCUCAUUACACACAUUAUAUUAAAAAAAAUAUACAUUUGUAAGCACAAAAUUGAGGAGAAAUAACAUAACAAAAUAAGAAUCACAUUUAGUUCAGUAUGUGAAAAGCUUGGGCAAGUUGUACUUGAAGACCAAAUGAAGCACUCAGCUGUUCGUAUCCUAAAUUGCUGUGAACACUGAAGAACAAAUGUAGGCUGACAAGGCUGUGCGGGUUGGUAACUAAUUUUUCUGAAAUGGUGACCAACCCUUGGCAGGUUUCCUGGGAGAAAAAAUUCUUUUCGUUUAUGCUCAUUCUUCUGAAAAAUUCAGCAUGUAUUAAAAUUGGGUGAGGAUAUUUGUUUUUAAUGUGUGAAACUAAGCUACAUUUUUAUACUUAAUUAUAAAACUUUCACCUAUACCAAUGUCACACAGGACUUAGGAGGAUCCUUAGGAUUUUUAGGACCAUUCUUGUGAAUGACUCUCUUCCACAUUUCUGGCUGGCUGGUAUCUUUGAUCCUUCGCCACUAAAUGCCAACAGUACCUCGCCAUCAUUGUGAUAAUAAUGAAACUUUUUAAUAAUGCCCUUGCCAAAAAAAAAAAAAAAAAACCCUUGCAAAUUUCCCAAAUGCCUAGUUUGGGUACUUACUGAGAAUCAUUGGUCUAGUAAUUAUGCAGCAGCCUGCACUUUCCCAGAUGUCACACUUAUCAAAAUGCUUUAAAAGAACAAGUUCUUGCCUGUUCUAAGUUCCUUGCCUGCAGUGACUGUAUUUCACAGUGCUCUUGCCAGCACAGGUCUGGUACUCAUUGAUAUCUUAAUAAUGUGAAUUAAUAAAUUAACAUUUGGGUGGCUAGGUCCUCCAGAAUAAUUUUAUAGAACAGGAAUAGUAUGUAUAUCCAUUAAAUAAUUUCUGAUUAUGAUGAGAAGCCUCCAGUGUUUUACCUUUGAAAAUGGAGGCUGCGGCAGGAGGAUCAUGAGUUCAAAGCCAGCCUCAGCAAAAGUGAGGUGCUAAGCAACUCAGUGAGACCCUGUCUCUAAAUAAAAUACAAAAUAGGGCUGGUUGGGCAUGUGGCUCAGUGGUGGAGUGCCCCUGAGUUCAAUCCCCAGUACCACCUUCCCCCAAAAGAACUGUCAAGAAUAACAACAGCUCUUCUUCUUUUUAAAAUAUUUUUUUAGUUGUACAUGGACUCAAUACCUUUAUUUUAUUUAUUUUUUAUGAGGUGCUGAUAAUUGAACCAAGUGCCUCACAUGUGCUAGGCAAGUGCUCUAUCACUGAGCCACAAUCUCAGCCUGUAACAGCUUUUCUUUAGACAACUGGUACUAGGUAUGUCACCAAGGAAUUCACACUACUGUUUUAUUUAUUUGCUUCAACAACUGUUUGAGUUAGGCUUAGAUGUAGUAACUAGCUCAAGGUUAUUAAAAGAGGAAGCUUGUGAUAGGUAGGAUUUGAACUCAGGUUCAUAGACAGUGUGUGUUUUCACUGCACUACAAGAAGUUGAUUAUUGACUUAAAACAGGUAGCUUUCACUGAAUGAAGAAAAAUUUUUUCUUGUCUAGCUUUCUAAGAAUUUUGUCUUUAAUCAAUCAGGAUGCUCACAAACUUUCUGGCUUCAUUUUUAAAAAAUGUCAAGAAUAACUAACAGAUCUUCAGUAAGACAAAGAAGAGCUUUUUCAUAUGGUUUAUGCGAUUGGAUGUAUUGAAGAAAUUAUAUGUAAUAAUAAAUAUGUAAAUUACUUUUAUAAUGAUAAUAAAUCAAUAAUAAUAAAUUACUUUUAUUCUCAUACUUGAUUUGGUGUAUAAUGUUAACAAUGUCUACGGAUUCAUUUUUCUACAAUCAUGUCUAAGAUGUUUAUAUCAGUGUGAAUUGGUGAUAUUAGUUCAUAAUUUUUUAUUCUCUCUGAUGGUAUAUGAUAAUAAUUCAGAGGAAAAAUACUUGGAACUUGGUUCACGUUUGAGGACACCUUAGAACAAAUUAUACACAGGCAUUAAUUCGUUCCUUAAAAACUUAAAAGAACCUAAUAAAUAGUGCAUAACAUCUUCUGGGAGUUUUUCCUUUUUGGAUGGGUGGACUAAUUAUUUGAAAAUGUUUUCAAUUUUAUCCAUGGCUUAUGUUUAUUCAGAUUUACUUUUCUUCUUCUUGAUAUAAUUUUAGUAAUUAUGUAUUCUUUCUGGAAAUAACUCAUUUCAAACACUCAAAUAUAUGGACAUAAAAUUAUAUUUAAAAUAUUUCUUAGAAUCUGUAUGUUUGUAGAAUCCUUGUCCUUUUUUAAUUUUGUGUAUUUGUGCUUUCAUUUUCUUUAUUAGAGUUGCCCAAGAUUUGUCUUUUGUAUCCUUAUUGCCCAACAUCCCUCAAAACCAAUUCUUCAAUGUACUUAUGAAUUCUGUAUGUUUUGAAUAUUAUUUAUUAGGUUUUGCUUUUACAUUUACUUUAUUUUUCCUCAAUUUAAUGCUUUUUUGUGGUUAAUUUUAAGUUCAUUCCAUAGGGUUUCCCCUCUUUUUUCUCUCUCCUUUUCCUUCUUUUCUUUCUUUCUUUCUUUCUUUCUUUCUUUCUUUCAUUACAGAUCUGGUCAAAACGUUUAUAUUCUGAUAGGCAGUAAUUUUGUUUUUGUUGUUUGUGAGCUAGUCCAGACUUGUAGAUUUAUUUCCUCUUUGACACUGCGGAAAUUAUUAGGACAUCUGCAAAAUUCUUAUGGAUUUUUGUUGACUUAAGGUUUUUAUGAAUAUGUAGAAUCAUGCUAAAAAAUGACCCACUGUUUUCAAAUAUAAUAUAAAUAUAAAUAUAAACUAGAUUAUUGUCCAUUUUGAAUCUGUCAUUAUCUUAUCUCUAAAUAAGUAAUUUUAUUGAUUAGGAUUACAGUUCUAUCUCAUCUUUUUGUUUAGGUUCGAGAUCAUGAUAUCUUACUUGGAAAAGUCUGUAGCAAUGAAAUCUCUCCCAUUACAUCCGUUACUAACAAUGUCUGGAUCAGGCUUAUAAUAGAUGAUUCUACCCAAAAGACGGGUUUCAGAGCUGUUUAUCAAAUUGGUAAGGAAAUUUCUACUUAAUUUUAAGUGUAUCAUUUACCUGAUUGUAACAUUUGAGUUUCUUGAAAUAAUUUAGUCAUUUUAUGUCCUCAAGUAGUGAGGAAAAUAUUCUCAUAAAAAUGUUACAUUCUGUUAUCGCCUUAGGCAUAAUUAGGAUAUACAAUAAAAUUGGGGCCAGUAAUUAUUUAUGUCUGAUGAACACUACUAUCAUUUUUAUAUUUACAGCUUGUGGGGGUGAAUUAACUGGAGAAGGAGUCAUUCACUCCCCUUAUUAUCCCAAUGUAUAUCCUGGAGAAAGGACAUGUAGGUGGACCAUACGCCAGCCCCAAAGCCAAGUUGUUCUUCUCCAAUUCACUAGCUUUGAAAUUGGAAGUUCUGCCCACUGUGAUACAGAUUAUGUUGAGGUAAGAAGAAACAAACCUUUGGAUCUUUGUAUUUCAUUAUAUAUUAUUAAAACUACUAUGUUAUGUUAUCCUCAAAUCAGUUAUAUGUAAUGGAAGUCAUUUGUAGAGAUCAAUAUCUCAUAAACACAGAAAAAUCCUUAACAAAAGACUAGCUAACUGAAUCUAGAUUAUAAGUAGGUUUAUAUGCCAUGAUUAAAUGAGAUUAAUCCCAGAAGUAUGGGUUGUUAAUAACAUCCCUGACUCAAUGAAUAUAAUACAUGUUAUCAAUAAAAUAAAGGUCAAAAAUACAUGAUAAUCUCAAUAGAUUACAGAAAAAGUAUUUGACAAAAUUCUACACAGUUUCAUGAUAACAAAAUUUAACAAACUAGGGGAAAAGGGGACUUCCUUAAUUUUAUAAAUGACAUCUUUAAAACCCCUCAUAUUUAAUGAUGAAACACUAAAUAUUUUGCCCCUUUAUCAAUAAAAAAUUAAGACUGUGUGUUCUCACCACUUCUGUCCAAUAUUAUACUGCAAAUUCUUUCUUUCUUGAAUAAUGAAGCAAGGAAAAGAAAAUAAAAUGCAUCUUGAGUUUAUAUGUGGAAUAUCACAAAGAAUUCACACACUUAAAAAACUUAGAGAAAAAAAAUUAUCUUAAGUGGCGUAUAAAAAUCAGUGUUUUCCUUUUGAGUUUUUAAGUGCUUGCAAUCCACAUAUUUGAAAUCCAUGGAGUUUGUUGAUUCCCCAUUGUGAUAAUUAUUGUUAUUUUUAUUUUAACAGCAGGUGGACAAGUUCUUACACAGUCCUCAGGAAGUAGACUUAUUAGAAGUUGGGUGCGGUGGUUCACAGCAGUAAACCUAGUGUUGCAGGAGGCUGAGGCAGGAGGAUUGCAAGUCUGAGGCCAGCCUGAGCAACUUAGGAAGACCUUGUCUCAAAAACAAAAAAAACUAGAAAGGGAUUGGGAUAUAGGUUAAAAUGAAUUAUAGACCUAAACAUAGAUUCUAAAACCAUGAAACUCUUGGAAGAAAACAUGGUAAUAUUUGUGACCUUGGAUUAGGUGAAAACUUCUUAGCUAUGACAUGAAAGUUACAAAUAACAAAAGAAAUAAUAAAGAAAUUGGACUUCAUCAAAAUUAAAAACAAUCUGGUUUUUUAAGUGAGCAAAUAACAUGAAUAGACAUUUAUUCAAAGAAAAUAUACAAAUGAACAAGUAUAUGAAAAGAUAUUCAGCAUCAUUAGUCCUGGGGGGGGGGGGAAAUGCAAAUAAUCAAAACCACAGUGCAUUCUCACUUCAUAUCCCUUAGAAUGGCUGUAAUCAAGAAGUCAGAUAAUAGCAAGUGUUGGAAAAGAUUUGGAGAAACUGGAAUGCUUACGCUUUGCUGGUGGGAAUGUAAAAGGAUGUACCCACUUUGGAAAACAGUUGAUGGUUUCUCAAAAAGUUAAACAUAGGUUUCCAUUUAAUCCAGCAAUUUCACUCUUAGUUUUAUAUUCAAUGUUAACAAAACAUAUUAACAAAAAUGUGUAUGUGAAUAUGCCUACAUUCAUUAUAUCAUAUGCAAAUGCCAAAUAAAAUAAUUACUGAUAAUUUUAAAAGUAAAAAAAGUCCAUCAACUGAUGAAUGGAUAAGUAAAAUACUAUAUAUAUACAUAUAUAUAUAUAUAUACACACACACAUAUACAUACAAUGUAAUAUUAUAUGCCAUUAAAAAGAAAUGAAGUAAUGACGCCUACUACAAUAUGGAUAAGCUUUGAAAACAUUACACUACAUAAAAGAGUCUAGUCACAAAAGACCAUAUAUCUUAUGAUUUCAUUUGUUUGGAACAUCCAGAAUAGACAAUUUAUAGGGACAGAGAGUAGGUUAGUGGCUGCCUGGGGCUCUAAUGGCAGGAGAAUAGAGAGUGACUGCUAAUGGACGUGGAAUUUCUCCUGGGGUAAAUAAAAUGUUCUAAAAUUGAUGAUGUUUUCAAAUUGAUUUUAGUAUGUUAAUAAAAGGGUUUUUGAAAUAAUUGUUCUUGAAGUUGUUUCCCAAAAUAGAUAUCUAACAAAAUAAACUGGGGUUUAUCUGUUUUACUUUAGGUUGGUAGCAGUUCCAUUUUGGGUUCUCCUGAAAAUGUAAAGUAUUGUGGCACCAACAUAACUUCAUUAAUAACAUCCGUGUACAAUAUUCUUUAUGUCACAUUUGUGAAAAGUUCUUCCACUGAAAAUCAUGGUUUCAUGGCUAAGUUCAGUACUGAGGAUUUGGGU